AUUGAACGCUGGCGGAAUGCUUUACACAUGCAAGUCGAACGGCAGCACGGACUUCGGUCUGGUGGCGAGUGGCGAACGGGUGAGUAAUGUAUCGGAACGUGCCCAGUCGUGGGGGAUAACGUAGUGAAAAUUACGCUAAUACCGCAUACGAUCUAUGGAUGAAAGCGGGGGAUCGCAAGACCUCGCGCGAUUGGAGCGGCCGAUAUCAGAUUAGGUAGUUGGUGGGGUAAAGGCCCACCAAGCCAACGACCUGUAGCUGGUCUGAGAGGACGACCAGCCACACUGGAACUGAGACACGGUCCAGACUCCUACGGGAGGCAGUAGUGGGGGAUUUUGGACAAUGGGCGAAAGCCUGAUCCAGCCAUUCCGCGUGCAGGAUGAAGGCCCUCGGGUUGUAAACUGCUUUUGUACAGAACGAAAGGGUUUCUACUAAUACUAGGAGCUCAUGACGGUACUGUAAGAAUAAGCACCGGCUAACUACGUGCCAGCCGCCGCUGUAA
rnacentral:rRNA from 1 species